rnacentral:rRNA from 1 species
UACGUAGGGUGCGAGCGUUGUCCGGAAUUACUGGGCGUAAAGAGCUCGUAGGUGGUUUGUCGCGUUGUUCGUGAAAUCUCACGGCUUAACUGUGAGCGUGCGAGCGAUACGGGCAGACUGGAGUACUGCAGGGGGAGACUGGAAUUCCUGGUGUAGCGGUGGAAUGCGCAGAUAUCAGGAGGAACACCGGUGGCGAAGGCGGGUCUCUGGGCAGUAACUGACGCUGAGGAGCGAAAGCGUGGGGAGCGAACGGG